GACGAACCGUGCGAACGUUGUUCGGAUUCACUGGGCUUAAAGGGCGCGUAGGCGGCUUGCCAAGUCAGGGGUGAAAUCUUUCGGCUCAACCGGAAAACAGCCCCUGAUACUGGCGGGCUGGAGGGAGGUAGGGGCGGAUGGAACUUCCGGUGGAGCGGUGAAAUGCGUAGAUAUCGGAAGGAACGCCGGUGGCGAAAGCGAUCCGCUGGACCUCUUCUGACGCUGAUGCGCGAAAGCGUGGGGAGCAAACAGG
rnacentral:rRNA from 1 species